rnacentral:rRNA from 1 species
GUCUACUUGAAUUUGGGUUUUUAACUUAGGUUUGGGUGGCGAACGGGUGAGUAACGCGUAAAGAACUUGCCUCACAGCUAGGGACAACAUUUAGAAAUGAAUGCUAAUACCUAAUAUUAUGAUAAUAGGGCAUCCCUAUAAUUAUGAAAGCUAUAUGCGCUGUGAGAGAGCUUUGCGUCCCAUUAGCUAGUUGGAGAGGUAACGGCUCACCAAGGCGAUGAUGGGUAGCCGGCCUGAGAGGGUGAUCGGCCACAAGGGGACUGAGACACGGCCCUUACUCCUACGGGAGGCAGCAGUGGGGAAUAUUGGACAAUGGACCGAGAGUCUGAUCCAGCAAUUCUGUGUGCACGAUGAAGUUUUUCGGAAUGUAAAGUGCUUUCAGUUGGGAAGAAAGAAAUGACGGUACCAACAGAAGAAGUGACGGCUAAAUACGUGCCAGCAGCCGCGGUAAUACGUAUGUCACGAGCGUUAUCCGGAUUUAUUGGGCGUAAAGCGCGUCUAGGUGGUUAUAUAAGUCUGAUGUGAAAAUGCAGGGCUCAACUCUGUAUUGCGUUGGAAACUGUAUAACUAGAGUACUGGAGAGGUAAGCGGAACUACAAGUGUAGAGGUGAAAUUCGUAGAUAUUUGUAGGAAUGCCGAUGGGGAAGCCAGCUUACUGGACAGAUACUGACGCUGAAGCGCGAAAGCGUGGGUAGCAAACAGGAUUAGAUACCCUGGUAGUCCACGCUGUAAACGAUGAUUACUAGGUGUUGGGGGUCGAACCUCAGC